GGAAUAUAGCUCAGUUGGUAGAGUGUUUGCCUUGAAUACACAAGGCACUGGGUUCAAUCCCCAGCACCA
rnacentral:tRNA from 1 species